rnacentral:rRNA from 1 species
GUGCCAGCCGCCGCGGUAAUACAGAGGGUGCAAGCGUUAAUCGGAAUCACUGGGCUUAAAGCGUUCGUAGGCGGGCUUGCAGGCGCGUUGUGAAAGCCCCCGGCUCAACCGGGGAACUGCUUCGCGAACCGCAAGUCUUGAGUCAAGUAGGGGCGGUCGGAACGAUAGGUGGAGCGGUGAAAUGCGUAGAUAUCUAUCGGAACGCCAAAGGUGAAGACAGGCCGCUGGGCUUGUACUGACGCUGAGGAACGAAAGCGUGGGGAGCAAACGGGAUUAGAUACCCUCGUAGUCC